rnacentral:ncRNA from 1 species
UCAUAAUCUUACUGGAAUUAGUAGCAAUCAGUUUUUAGUUCAGAGAGUGGAUGUUUAGUGCGAAUCCAUCUAAAACUAUUGUGAACUCGUCCAGCGGAUCUUAACUUGAAAUGAGUAGAGUCGAGCGUGUGCCAGCGUUAAUGGUUUAGAGGGUUUAUUCCAAAUCUAGGUGGUACCACGGUCGCGCGUCCUAUGA